CAGGAGACGCGGUGGCGCCGGCCUGCAAACGGAGUCGGUGUCCCGCGGUGGGGGCAGGAGAACCGCCCCAAGGCGAGGAAGUCCAACCGGUUGGGCGGGCUAAGCCUCGCCCUCCCGCGAAAUGGAAAAACCCUCGUGGUGAGGAGUUCUGGGGCCUGAUUUUUAUAGAGCCCUCUCCUGACCCGGACUAGUUCCAUUCCUCCUACUGAGCUUCGCAGAGAGCCCCGAGGGGGUACAGUUCCUCGCGUCGUGCAGCGGGAAACCGACUCUUAGAAAGGUUGCGGAACGUGCCUAGGGUCCCGCCGGGAGUGGCCCGGCUAGGAUUUGAACCCGAGUCGUCCAGCCUGCAAAAGCCCGGUGCUCUCUGACGUUAGCGCUGCGCGCCCAGGGCCGAGACGGCGUCCCCUAACAGCGCCGACAACCGGGGUGCCUUGGGUGUGACUGGAACCCGCGGCCAGGGGCCACCCUUCCCAGGUUUGGCGGGCGCUGCCCCUGCGGCGGCCGAGGGUCGGCGGGAGCGGCGCGGGGCUGUUACCAAAGGAGCAGCAAGGAGCUGGUCUGCUGUGCAGUGAGGCCUGGAUUUUGAGUCCAGGAUGGAGAGAAACAGAUCCCAGGGAUUUUUGGGAAGAUAGAGGACAAUCUGCAGCUGCUAUGAGAACAGAAUUGGUGGUGGAAGAGUGCUCUCAAAUUUGCCCAGCCAAGAUUUCUUAUACUUCAAAGACAAAUGGUGACAAGGCUUAACCGAGGAGCAUACUGCCCAGUGCCUUACAGUAAUGUCACUGGCUUAAUGCCACAAAUAUUGUAAAUUGCCAAAUGAGAAUGAUUCCCGCCCGUCUCUUUUAUAUUUUGAGGAAAGAGAGAAUGUUUUGGUGAUGUGGGACUUUCUUCAGUAUCUAUGGGUUGUGAAUAGUAUAAGCAAUGAGAGGAAGACACCAUGUUGGGCAGUUUUUCACGGAACUUUGGGAGAUGGAAAGAAUACAUUACAAGGAUUUCUCCUUUCUCCAGAAGGCUGACUUAAAGGUAUAGCAAAUUUGGAAAGCAAAAUUACCUGAAUCCUCACUAGCUUCUACUCCCUGCUUCUUGUCUCUGUGCCCAGCAGAAGAUUCUGAGGUUAUUAAUCUUCCUGGCGAAGGUCCCAGAAACCCCCAAAGAACAUUUUGGUUUGACUAAAUUGAAAUAAUAUUUACUGCCAUCCUACUAUGUGCCCUACACUGUGCUAGUCACUUGGUAACAGAGUUACUGCAACAGAAACAGCUGCCUCCCCUUCUUUCAUGACGAAAGAGCAUCCAAACUUCAGUUGUCCACAUGGCUUUCAAGUCUAAAGUCUGCCUUUCCUGCAACUAGGAGUAGGCUUAGGACUAAAUUCAGCAGACCAAAUAUCAGCAGAAAUGUCAUAUAGCCGCUUCCAGGCACCUUCCUUAUGAAACAGAAAUAUGUAAGCCCUUUGCACAGUCUCCUUUAUCGUUCCUCUGUCCGGCUGCCCGCGGCUUGUGUCCUGACAUCCUAGACCUAGGUAUGGCACACAACAAAGUGGAAGAAGCCUGGCUCUCUGACAUCAUGGAGCACCACACAAAAAAGACCAAAGGCCUACAAGAGAACGGGAAUCAUAGGAGUCACGUUUUCUGAAUUAAAAAGAUCAAUAAAGAGGGGUGCCUGGGUUGGUUAAGCAUUGGCCUUCAGCUCAGGUCCUGAUUUCAGGGUCCUGGAUUGAGCCCCACAUGGGGGCUCCCUGCUCCAC